rnacentral:rRNA from 1 species
UAAUACGUAGGUGGCAAGCGUUGUCCGGAAUUAUUGGGCGUAAAGCGCGCGCAGGCGGUUAUGUAAGUCUGAUGUUAAAGCCCGGGGCUCAACCUCGGUCCGCAUUGGAAACUGUGUAACUUGAGUGCAGAAGAGGAAAGUGGUAUUCCACGUGUAGCGGUGAAAUGCGUAGAGAUGUGGAGGAACACCAGUGGCGAAGGCGACUUUCUGGUCUGUAACUGACGCUGAGGCGCGAAAGCGUGGGGAGCAAACAGGAUUAGAUACCCUGGUAGUCCACGCCGUAAACGAUGAGUGCUAGGUGUUGGGGGUUUCAAUACCCUCAGUGCCGCAGCUAACGCAAUAAGCACUCCGCCUGGGGAGUACGCUCGCAAGAGUGAAACUCAAAGGAAUUGACGG